rnacentral:ncRNA from 1 species
AGCGAAGUGGCUUAGAUACUGUAGAAAUUAUGCCCACAAAACGCAGAAAUACCCAGCCAUGGACGGCUGGGUAAGGCGUUAUGCGCCACGGACGGCGCAUAAAAGCCGUUUUCGUCAAGCAUCGAAACACUCAAAGCAUAAUUUCGUACAGUAUCUUAGCCACGCAGC